UUCAUGAAGCCCGCAGAUAAAACACUGUAGCUUUGAGAAAAUACAUCUCCCCUACCCCCCCUGAUCGGGUUUCUUGCUUUGAACAGUGUUUUAGAUUAGGUUUUUUUAUUCCAAUUUUAUCCCUGAAAAUACUUCAAAAAAUCGAUAGUGGUGUCCAAAUACCGCCCAUUUGUUGCGCAUCUUUCACACAGCAGAGAAAGGUUCUUCAGUCGACGAGCAGGAUUGAGCGUCGGAUCUUCGAGAAGGUAGUACCAAAUCUGGUGUUUCAUCGACGAGUGCGGCUGUAGUUCACCGACGUCAAUCGAGGUCAUGGACGAGAGACUUGCCCCACAUUGUCCAUUAUGUCAUGGAAGGAUGUUGUUAAUGUGUGCCGGCCCGAAAGCCCAGCAUCCGGGGAGAUGGUAUUACACAUGUCCUACACGAAGAGGUCAUCCUGGAGGAUUUGUUUGGUAUGACGAGUACCAUAGUUCGUGGCGUGAUCUUAUGCCGAAUACAACUGCAUGGCCUGCCCAGAGCUACCAGCCCCAAUCCUCUGAUCAAGCUGCAAGCUCACAAGUUGUGGAUUCUCCGGCGUUGACUGACAACAAUCAAGGUCGAUCCCUUCGUGAAAAUGAAGUCCCAGUGCCUCUUCUCCUUCUGUUGGCCAUCACGGUGAUGAUUGGAAUCACCAUUGGGAAGCUAUUUUAAUUAAGCCAAUGUUCAAGAUAUUGAAAAUAUGUACCUCUUGUUAGUAUUUGUAGUCUGAAACAUGUAGGACUCGAUAUGGUCUGUUCAGUGCAUUUUGCUAUCAUGCCAUGAAUAGCUGCCAAGAUGGAUUGUCUAAUGUGAUUUGG